CAGCACCAGCAUGUCAUGUAUGUGACCAGCUGUGACUGUGCAACUAACUUAAGAUUCAAAACUCAUUACUAGAUGUCGCCAGUGUCACCCAUGUUGUUCUGACAUCGUGAAACGAGGCGAAACAAAUUGUAGCCAAUUUAUACUUAUAUUCCUGUGAUUUCAAUUACCAAAUUGAGCUUCGUAUCAUAUAUGCAUACUGUCAGGCAUUCCAACAAGUUGACUUAGCGCUCAGUCAAUUUCCAUCCAUUUGGCCCAUCAUAUGCUGUCUAAAGCCUAAAACUCAUGUUUGAAGCACACAUAUAGUGGAAUAUAAAUGUGCCGAGAUAAGGAUCUUAUUUUCUGAAUCUCGCUUUUUUGGUCACAUAGUCGCGUACCCUGCAACAGCAUCUUUGUUGUUAUGGCUGUUUCUACUUCUGUUUAAAAGGCAACCCAGCUAAGAGAUAGUUUCAGAGACACGAAGAGUGUGAAGUUACUUGCCAUGUAUGUACCCGAUCUGCUUGAUGAAAGUCAAAUGCCUUACUAAAUUCAUCACCCAUAUGAUAAAGCAUCAUCAGGAAAUUUAUCUCAACAUGUGGAGUAAUGCUGUUGGUUGCUGUGAAUUCCAUUUUUACAGUUUUUUCAUCAAGAACAUUUCAUCGUGCUUCUUAGAAAAGAGCACGCAGUUUCUUUAUUGAAUCGUAUGGUCCUGGCACGCAGAUUCUUGAGCCAACGCUGACCUUUGUCCAUGACGGAAGAGGGACUUCCACCAACGUUCUUCUCCAUCCUUCCUUAUCUUCGCGACGCACGCUCAUCUAGCUUCACUGCUUCUAAACACAAUUUGUUUUACUUCACUGGCGACUUGGCGAGUUUCUGGACUACUUCAGUGAUCGCUUCCGUCCGCUGUUACACACCUGCAGUCACUCACCACGUGAUUAUGCCCAGGUAAUGCAGAGGAAACGUCGAGAAGAUGGACACAAAAACGUCGCUGGUA